GUCUUCUCCCUCGCUGAAAGUCUGAAGGGAGCCGGCUUACGUUUCUGCUCCGCUUGCCUAGUGAGUCUUGAGCUGGCUUGAGGCAAUGCUGCACUUAACAGUAUAUUGUAAAGCUUGAAGUACUGUAUUACGUUGCCUGGCUGUUACUCCAGUGCUAGGAAAGUGGUUGGAAGGAUGAGGAAGACAAUGAACAAAAGGAGGCAUUUGGAAGGAUUUGUUUUACUUCAAAAACAAGAAUACUAAGCUUCCAUCCUGCUGCUUAAUCUGUUUCAAACCCAUUACAUGUAGUAUAAAGUGUUUGGGUACUUCGUUAAAUCCAACAGAAUAGAGAUGGUCUUAAAAGGAAUUUCCCUGCCCUAAAGCUCUAAGGGUGGCUAAAGAUAGGGUGUUACUACUGUAUUCUGCAGUUAUUGACCUAGAAAAUUUAAGAAAAGGUACAUAACUGACCACAGAAAUGGCCCAGCUUUACAGUUUUCAAAAGGCUUCUGUAUUAGGCAAUUUUCUUAACAGUUGCAAAAAAUGAGGUAAGUGGUGGAUGCCUGGCAGUUUUUGGGAAGAAAACUUAGUACAAGAGAUUGAACAUAUGUUCAUGUUUAUAACGUGACUUUUAAGGGCUCUCUGAUCUCUUGUAUCUGCCACUACAAAAUAUAGAAGGGCUACAUUUUUGGACAACUGAAAUUUGAAAUGUAUCUACAAUAUCCUGUUUUUAUUAGAAAAAAUGAGAACACUUUUCAUUGUAAUCCGUCUACAGCUAACUUGUUUCUGAUACUAAUAAGGUUAUCAAAGUGAAAAGUCAGAAGGGCAAAUACCAUUUUUUCAUUAAAGAAAGGAAGUACAUAAAAUUACAGACUUAUGUAGAGAAUAACCUGAAGGGCAGCCCACUGAGAAUUGCUUUUUAAAUAAAUAACAUUGCUUGCCUACCACAAGUCAUGAGCCAGCUGCUUUUAAUAAAGUUGAGUGAGAAAAUUGGAUUUGAUGUUACCCCACUACCAAAUUGAUCUUUCCUGGUCUUUGCCUUUUUGAAACAGUGAUUCUCCCCGAUAAGUCCAUACCCCAACCACCACCACAUGUGCAGCUUGGGGGUGUUAUAUGUAUGUAUAACAGUCACAGUAGUGUAAGAUAGAUGUAUGGCUUUAUAAGACUGAAAAAUGAAAGCUUAGAUAUGUUUUGGGGUCCUAAGUUAACUAACAAGCAAACUGGGGCUUUUUACAUGACUCUGAAAAAGCUCUCAGACUUUGGAAGUAAAUUUAUUACACUCAGGGAGGGAGAUGUUCCUGCCAGGCAUGCUGCCUACUUAAGAUGUUCUGACAUUUUCAGGAAGUUACGUAACACAGUAUGAAAUAGUCAAACGUUGCUUUUUAGCUGAUAAAUCCUCCAGCAACGUAUGUAUUUUAACUUGGGGGAAACAAAACGACUCCCAGGGUCUUAGCCAUUUCCUUCCCAGGUAAAAUACUGACACAGCCUGGCCUGAAAGCAGUAUACAGAAUAAUUUCCCCCCUUAAUUGUGAAGAAGAAAAAAACCCAAAAAUAUAAAGUAUUUCCAGUAAUUGUGGCACAAAGAGAACAAAAAAGCUAACUGUUCAAUACUGCAUGUUUCCCCAAUAAAAAGUUUUAGAAAGAA